rnacentral:lncRNA from 1 species
GUGGCAGCAAAAUAUUAGAAAUUAUAUCAAUUAACCUAAAUCCUAAUUAGAGUCUUAGUUGUCUUCUUCAGUCGUUCUUCUCUGCGCCCUAUUCUUCAUCAUCUUCCUCAACAAAACCUUCUCCAUAUCUCUGGUUUUUUCCAAUACGACACAACCAUUCGAGCCCUUCCCAAUAUCCCUCAGUCCAGUAGUCCACCACCCAUCAACAACUUCUCUGUUUCAAUACCACACCCAUUCGAGCCCUUCCCAAUAUCCCUCAGUUCAGUAGUCAACCACCCAUCAACAAGUUCUCUGCCCUAAAAACAAAACACAGAUCUUGAUUUCAGAAACUUGUAGCAUGGAAACUCAAAGAUUGAAGACAAAAAGCUUCAAAGGAGACAAAAGAACUAGUAUAAAUUACUACAUAGCAGCAAAAUUGAAGGUAUUUCGUUUCCCAUCUCUUCAAAUCUUUACUUAGGAAAAUCAAUUUUCCCAAAUUUUUGGUCAACGCACCCGAUCUAUUUUGAUCAGAUCCGACGCACAUCCCACACCCUUACCCGUGUCAGCACCGUGUCGACACGGAUACGGCACCGAAAGCGUCGUGUCCGAGCAACUUAGCAAAUAAGUGACAAAUCAGAAGAUGCAAGAAUUAAAUAAAGCAAUUUUAUAAGGUUGUGAUCCUGGAACUAUUUCCUUAAAUGAAAUAUACGUAGAGAAAAGGUGGAACCAAAAUGGAGAUACUUUGAAAAUAUAACCCCCAAAUAGUAGCAAAACAAACAUAUUUUGAGGAAGAUAGAGAGAGGCAGCAACACAUAUUUUCUAGCUAUGAGGCUUGAAGAUCAGUAGCAACCAAAAUAUAAAAUCAGAAAGACACGAAAUUCAUGAAACACUUCUGAAUAGAGAAAGAGAGAAGAGAUGAAGAAUUGAGAAACUCACCCAGAAAGAGGAUACCUUGAAGUAGGCAUAAAGAGAAUUGCAAAGAAAGAAUUAGAAUGUGAAGAGAUGGAGGAUUGCAGAGUGAAACUGUUAAAAUAGUGCACAUGUUUAGUAAAGGAAAAUAAAAUACAGUACAAUUCACAUUUCCAACCGAGAGGUUGUGAGUUCGAGUCUCCCCAAGAGCAAGGUGGAAAGUUCUUGGAGNNNNNNNNNNNNNNNNNNNNNNNNNNNNNNNNNNNNNNNNNNNNNNNNNNNNNNNNNNNNNNNNNNNNNNNNNNNNNNNNNNNNGAGGGAAGGAUGUCGGGGGUCUAUUUGGAAACAGCCUCUCUACCCAAGGGUAGGGGUAAGGUCUGCGUAAAUACUACCCUCCCCAGACCCCAUUAAGUGAGAUUAUACUGGGUUGUUAUUGUUGUACAAUUCACACGGCGUUUGGUACAACUAUUUGGAGUUAUGACCGAGCAUAUAACAUUAGAACAAAAAAGUAACAAUAGUAGGAAAAAAACGAUAGUACUUUUAAGAGGAACAAAGCUAUUAGCACAACAUAUGCCACAUACUAUACAAACACAUGAUAAAUACUACAUGGAGAAACAUACAACAUGAAUACUAUAGGGAGAAACACACAGCAAAAAAAAAACUAUUGAUAGUCGAAUAAUAUGAAAACAAAAAUGUGGAAAUAACCUCUUAUAGUCACUGGUGUUGCUCUUUUCUCCAUAGAGUACCUAUACUUUCUUCAAAAAUCAGUCACUCAAAAUUGUGCAGCCCCUAUAUUCUAAGUAAUUAAAUCACACAAACUACAGAAUGAAUCUUUGAGGAAAGAAUAACUUGAAUUCAUAAGUCUUGCUAUAAGAAAUCAAAUCGUGCCCAACUUAACUUGCAACCAAAAAAAUAAUCUAGUAUUACCUUGUCCUAUUGUCACGCCCAUUGUAAACC